CUUACAAAUAUGUACUUCAAACUUUAUUAAAGAAACCCUAAAUGCCUUACAUUCUUACAAAUCAAUUUCAUGGUAUCACUUUAUAUUCGAAAUUGGACUAUUAACAUUUUCUUAAUCUUUAAAAACUAUUUUGUUGAUUGACAGUACAAAUUUUACUCAUAACAACAUUUAGCUGCUGCUGCUGGACAUCCCAAAAAGAUUGAUCAUAGAUUUUGACCUUGGCUUCUUUUCUGCAGGUUUUAAUAUUCGGAAUGAACACAAUAGAGUCUCGUCAACACUUAUAAAAGCACCCGCGUUGUCAAAUUCACCGCAAUAAUUAGGAGCCGAAAACACCGUUACUAGUUGUUUGUAUGCAAAGAACUCGUACCCAUCCUCUACAACCUGCAACAACAAAGUAACACCAAACAGAAUUAAAGUCCAUUUUGACUUCUAAGGUCAACACAGUAUGUUUCUAAAUUCGAAAUAAACAAAGAACAAGCUAUCGAUCGAACACCAACAUUUCAUUAUUAGUGACAUUUAUUACAAAGAAAAGCACAGUCAGGAAAUUUAAAAAAAAAGUUGAAAAUUUUGUAGGAAAUUUGAAUAUAAAUUUUAGCCUGUUUGACCUCAAAAGUCAACUGUAUCAGAACAUACACAAAAGACAAACCUGGUGAGCGCGACAAAUAAGAUCAAGAUCAUGUUUGAGUAAAAACUCCGUGACAACAUCAGCACCAAACGUGUACGAAACUCCACGAUCAUUCAUUGCCCACCCUUUGACUUCUUUAUGCGGGUCAGACCACAAAAGAUCACAAAGCAAACCAUUAUCGGGCACAUCAGCAGGACGUUCCAACUCUCUAAUCUGAUCCAAGUCAUGAAGGUCAGGCGAAAGGCCACCAUGCAUACACAAAAUCUUUUCACUAACUAAAGCUGCAACAGGCAAGCAAUUGAAGCAAUCUCCGAAGAUCUUCCAUAACUUAACAUUGAAUCUUUUUUUACAUUCGUCAUAGAACCCGUACACGCGGUUUAUAGAAGAACACUCGUGGUUUCCUCGCAGAAGGAAGAUGUUAUCCGGGUACUUAAUCUUGUAGGCGAGAAGAAGGCAUAUAGUUUCAAGGCUUUGUUUGCCGCGAUCAACGUAAUCGCCAAGAAACAAGUAGUCGGCUUUUGGAGGCAAUCCGUCGUGCUCGAAAAGACGAAGAAGAUCAGGGUAUUGACCAUGGAUGUCACCUGAUAAUCAUAGAUCUGUUGAAGCUUCCAAAACAACAUAUAUCUUAAUAUUCAAAGUAUAUUACAACAUACAACCCAAAACAACUAAACAAACAAACAUACCACCAUCCUAGGUAGGCCUGUAAACGAAUCGAACGUUUACGAAUUGUUUGGCGGGAAGUUCGUUUAUUUGAAUGAAUGAACAAACGUAAACAAAAUAUUUUGUUCAUUUAAUUAAACGAACGAACAUGAAACAUGUUUUGUUUGUUCAUUUAUGUUCUUGAACGUCCGUUUAUCACAUAUGUUUAUGUUCGUUUCUUUAUGUUUGUUCGUUUAAAUUUUAAAUGAACACAUAAGUAGUUAUAUUUAUAUAAUACAAGUAGUUAGAAACCCCCUUUAUGGUUAUAUUUAUAUAAGGGGAAUUGGCCUUAAUAAAAAACGGUCUUUCCAAUAUGAUCGCAAUUGAUCACCAAUUUAUAUAUAAAAAAAAAAACUACGUAAUCGAAUCAUGUACAUUUAAACAACUAAUUAAGAUGUGUUUUGGAUGAAUUGUGAUGUAUUAGGCUUAUCCGUUUGUGUUCAUCAAUGUUAAAUAAUGUUCGUUUAUGUCUGUUCAAUUAUGUUCAUUUGUGUUGGUUUAUGUUUGUUCAAUUGUGUUCGUUUACGUUCGUGAACUGUUUGUUUAGGUUUUAAACGAACAAACAUGAACAUAUUCAUUUUCUUAAUGAACGAACAUGAACAAAAAAUGUGUUCGAUUAUAUGUUUGUGUUCGUUUACAUCCUAAUCCUGGGGAUAGAGAGGCUGCUCUAUAGAGAACCCCUGAUAAAAAAAUCCCCUUUUUUGACCCUUUUAACAUGUGAAGUGUAAAGAACCGGGUAAACAAAACCCAAAGCAGUAAAACCAACAAAUGUAUCGCCGAUCACGGAAUAGAAUAGAGAGGCUACUUUCAUCAAGACCCAUAUAUAUUAAAAAAUCACUUUUUAUUUUUAAACUUUUUUACCAUAUAAGAGACAAAGAGACUGCUUCUAGCGACACAACAAAUUAAAAAAAAAAACCACCUUUUUGACUUUUUUAACAUGUCAAGUGUAAAAAACCAAAUAAAUGAAUGCCGCCCACAACCCAAAAAAUACAAUCUUUUAACUUUUCAUCAUAAUUUCAGUUAAACCAAAGCACAGAUUACUUAAAUUUUGCAACUUUUUUAGUGGGUUAUUUACUUCUUUAAAAGAUAUUCUAUCAACAAUCAAAAGAGGGGAAGAAUAUUCAACCAAUAAGAAACAAGCAAGCAAGAUUCAAGAUUUCAAAAGGGGAAACAGAAAAGCAAAGAAAUUGAUAAACAGAUACCACAAAUCUUGAUGGGGGCUUGAAGCUCCAACAGAUUAGGCUGCUGCAAGAAAAUCUCUCUGGAAACAACACAAAGCUGCUUGAUUUCUGAUUCAGUGAGCUCAAAAUGCUUACUGGGUUUAGGCCCAACUUCAAGAAGCCUGUGAAUGAUGCUAUCUACAACAGAUUGGUCCAUUGUGGUUCAUAUGUAAUUGAUUCUGAUAAUGGGUUUUGAAGGGUGGAUUGAAGAGAAGCAAAGAAAACUAAUAUUUGUGGAAAAACUGGGAAGUCAACGCUCAAGAAUAACGGUGGGCGAAUGAUGGACCGGAUAGCUGAAUUAGAGGAUUCAUUGUUUUUAUAA
rnacentral:lncRNA from 1 species